rnacentral:lncRNA from 1 species
CUAUAGAAACCAUCCCAAUACAGACGAGGGGAGCCUGGUGCAGUGCUGCAGCUGGCCAGUUCCUGCCAAACAGUCCAACCCAUGCCAGCAUGGAAAACAAACAUUAAAUGAUGAUGAUGAUGAUCAUCAUAACACUAUGUUGGAAUAAUGAUGGGGUGGUCAUGUCUGGAACAUUUUUCAUAAUUGAUCUACUCAAUCAAUACUGAUCUAGCUUAAAUAAACCUCACAGUACAAGUGCACCACUAUAUGAGUAAAUUACUGUUAUGAGCUGAGGCUCAUGUGAAUUUUUGUCUUGAAGUAUGAGUUUCAUACAAGUGGCCACUGGCGGGAACUGAACUCGCACACACUCUCCCAACAAGUGCAGCCUCCGUUCACUCAAUUCAUGUGUUUAUCUUGUGGCAGCAUCCCCUGUUGUGUUUUACCCAGUGUUUUUGUUUAGUUUUGUGCAUUUUUGCUAUUAUUCUACAAUAAUUAGUUGUGUUAGCCGUGGCUUCUGAGAAGGUGAGUGCAAAGGACAGUACUGAGAAGAAGAAAAAAGCUGAUUACGAUAAAACUGAAGAAGGAAAUCGUUGAUAAACAUGAGAGAGGAGUGAGUGUAGUGGACGUAGCACAUCAAUAUGACCGAGGCACGUCAAUGACCUGCACUGUCCUGAAGAGAAAGGAUGAGAUCAAGGCCAUUACAACAGCAAAUGGUGUCUCCAGGCUAUCUAAUCACAAUGCACUUCUAUCCAUGAAAGGAUGGAAAAAUUGCUUCUCUUGUGGAGCAACAAGAAGCAACUCACAAGGGAUACAAUUGUGGAGACCCUCAUCUGCAAGAAAGCACAAGUGCUGUAUGGGGAUCCCCUGAUGCAGAACACUAGAACAUCGAUGGAGGGGAUAUCAGCAGAAACAUUGAAAGCCAAUUGUGUCUGGUUUUAUAAUUUCAAGAAGACUGGUGUUCAUAGUGUCAUCAAAUAUGGAGAAGCAGCAAGUUCUGACACAAAGGCAGCUGAAUAUUUCAGGGAGCUGAAUUCCAUCAGCUCAUCACUGCCGAGGGGUAUAUCACACAACAGGUUUUCAACUGUGAUGAACUGACCUUUUUUUCGAAAAAAAUGCCCAGAACUGACAUAACUGUAGAGGGGGGAAAAUGCCAGGCCACAAGCGUAUGAAAGAUAGGCUAACUUACGCCCUUUGUGCCAAUGCAAGUGAAAACCAGAAGAUUAAGCCACUCUUUGUCUACCAUUCUGAAAACCUGUGAGCAUUCAUAUCACACAAAACAUGUUAAGCAACACUAAUAAUAAAUCAAAAGACAUAAAAAUAGACAAUCCUUUCACGAUUUUAUAGAUAUUAGGAAAGGAUGAUGCUAUGAUGCAAGGCGUUUCCAUCAUUUUGUCGAAAACAUUAAAUGUAAAGAAUAUUUUCAUUGUGCCAAAUGCAAAAUAAUUGUCACUGCAGGUUAUGUGGAGGGCAAACGUUAAAGCCUGGGUCACCAGGCAAUUCUUCUCUGAGAGGGUCAACCUUAUCUUUGGACCAGCAGUGAAAAGUACUUUCUAGAGAACAAUCUUCCUCUCAAGGCCCUCCUCAUCCUCAAUGUUCUUGCUCACCCUCCUAACUUUGAAGAUGAUAUUCUGGACGAAUUUAAAUUUAUAAAAUUUCUGUACCUUUCACAACACCUUCCUUAUCUUGCAGCUCAUGGACCAACAGGUGAUUUGUAAUUUCAAGAAAUUCUACACCAAACAUCUGUUUCAUCAGUGUAUUGAAGUCACCGAAAAUACAAAUCUAACCCGUCGUGAGUUUUGGAUGGAGUACUAUAACAUUGUAAACUACCUGAAAAUCAUUGAUAUGGCUUGGCAGGGUGUAACGAGAAGAACACUGAAUUUUGCAUGGAGGAAACUGUGUCCUGACUGCAUAUCUGGAAGAGACUUUGGGGAGUUUGAGUCUGAGGCUCCUGUAGUCUCUUGGCAAGUCCAUGGGCAUUGAGAUUGAUGAUGGGGACAUUAACGAUCUUGUCGAGGAACACUCAGAGGUGCUGAUGACAGAGGAACUCCUGCAGCUUUGGAGGCAGCAGCAUUUGGAUGCAUUUGGAUGAGUGUAGCAGAGAAUGCUAUCUCUGCAAGUGACACAAAGGCAGUGUCAGCAGAGUAGCAGCAGGUUUCUGAAUUUGUAGAAAAAUAUCAUCCCGAAAAAAUAGCUACAGGUCGUGCAGUUAGUUUAUUUAAUGACACUGCUCUGCUGCAUUUUGAAAGGCAGGAAAAAGCAGACUUCCCUUGAUAUGUUUCUAACGAAGCAACUUGCAAAGGUAAAAAGUAAAGAAAAUGUGUCCAAAAAGCCUAAAUUAAGCAAAGUGAGAAAGAAAACAUCAGAAAUUGUUCUUCCUGAAACCCGAAUGGAAAGAGAUUCUCCAGUCAUCCUCCUCCUCACUCUAUCGUCUUCCUCUUGCACAAAUCGUCCCAUUUUUUAGGUAAUUCAGUUAAUAAAACCAGUUUACAUAUUUCUUUUGCAUUCUCUUUUUUUAUAAUUGUCAUUUUACUUGUAACUACACCUUUUCUGUUUUGAAAUACAAGCA